rnacentral:rRNA from 1 species
AAUCAACGCUGGCGGCGUGCCUCAGACAUGCAAGUCGAACGAUUAAAGCUCUCUUCGGAGAGUGUAUAGAGUGGCGCACGGGUGAGUAACACGUAAGUAAUCUACCUUUGAGUGGGGAAUAACAGUCGGAAACGACUGCUAAUACCGCAUAAUGCAGCGGCAUCGCAAGAUGACAGUUGUUAAAGGAGCAAUCCGCUUAAAGAGGAGCUUGCGGCAGA